GGGGUGGGGAAUGAAUAAGGGAAUAGGGGUUUCUUCUGUGCAGGAGUGAACUGGAGGUUCAUGGUUUUCCCCCAUUGCCAAACAACUGCUAUGCCUCCCUGGUUUUCACAUGUUUACUGAGAGUAAGGGCUAUAUUGGUCAAGUCCACCCAUUUCAUCGAGCAAUUCAUCUGUUCUGCGUUGUUCUUUAAAAGCCACAGAUGCCGAGAUCCGCUACCUGAAAGCGGUCAGAAGCGAGUCGCGUGAUCACCGUUUGGACUUGGCUGUCUCGUGAUGUUGCGAGAUCCGUGAUGCAGCGUAACCGACCGAUCCCCACCCUCCCCACACACACUCCUCCGCCCCCCCAAAGCAGUGGCAUGUUUUGCUCCGUCGGCCGUUUAUGGGCUGCAACUCCACCAACCUCCACCAGGCUGCGUCUCGAUAACAGAAAGUGUAGCCAACACUGUAGCUGCUCGUUUUAUUCUCAGCUGCACUGCUCCUCAGCUUAUCGACAGAGUAAACGUACCAAAGCCUUCACCAUCCUCGCGCUUCACGGCUCAUCACUGUUUCGUACUCUCAGGGUUACCUCUAGCGAACAGCGCUGUAGUUUGAAAUCGACACAUUUUUCACCCACGAGUCUCAUAAAGCCAAAGCAACUGUUUCGCUUUUAUUACUGUCUUGAUAUUUCUUGUCUGCAUCACGUAUCUCUGUGAAACAUACUGAUCUAGGCUAUGCAAAAACAUGAACUUACUGUUAUAUGCUGCGACCCCUCCGCUCCUGUUUUACAGUCUCUCUGUCGUUUUGUUUGUGGGCACCAGUACAAGCAAUAUAACUCUCAGUACUUGUGGCACUGCACUAUACUGUAAUCUACUUCGGUUGGUCUGUGUUUUAUCUAUUUGUUUAAGAAAAACUGUUUAAAAAGAAAGAAAAAUACUUGUAAUGCUACUACAGUGAUGUGGGGAGUGUCUAUUGAGGGGCUUGAGUUAAAAUGCCAUUCUAGUUUUUAAAUAUAUAUAUAUAUAUGAAUAUAUACACCAUUUCCCCUCUUAUUGUUUUGGCUUUUUCUCUCUGCUUCCUUCAACCACUAACAUUUCUGCUACAAACUUAUGGAUAAAACACGUUUAGUUGAGUAUGCUGAAAGAGUUGAUUAUAUUAUUAUUAUUAUUAUUAUUUAGUCUGUUUGACACUUUUCUGUCCCUCAACUUUUUAUUCUCCAUCUUCAUGAAAUUACAGGCUAAAUAUGUAAACAUUGCCUUUAAUCCCCAGUUAAUACAGAACCACAGUUUUUUAUCUAUAUCAUACACAUGAAAGACCUCAACAUGGAACACAGUCAGCGUGGAUCAGACCAGCCAUUAUUAGUAAUACUUUGCUGAGCCCUCAACACUGUACUGAAAACAUUUCAGUGUGAUUGUGUCCAUCAAACCUGUGAACUGUACUAUUUUUUUUUCUCAAACAUAGAUUAUACCAAACAGAUGAGAGGCACAUGUCUUUGAGCUGUGUCAUUUGUCUUUUCUGUUUUGUUUUGUUUUUUUGUUUUUUUUUGCCAAAAUGGGAAUCAUCCACUUUUGAGAGGGAAGGCAUCUAUUUAAAAAAAAAAGCAACUUGACUCUUUCUACAUUGUUUUCCUAAUAACUUAAAAAGAAAAGAAAAAAAAGCCAAAAUAAGUAACAUAGAAAAACAAUAAGCACUGACUGACAGACAAAAAAUGCUUUGGUUUUGUAAGAAGUCUGCUGUGUACUCUUUGGGUCAUCAUUUGUAUUUUAUUUUUUUAAUAAAACAAACAUUGGCGCACUGCU
ensembl:lncRNA